rnacentral:rRNA from 1 species
AUGAACGCUAGCGGCAGGCUUAAUACAUGCAAGUUGAGGGGCAGCAUGAUAUACGCGAGUAUAUUGAUGGCGACCGGCGGACGGGUGAGUAAUAGGUAGGAGACCUACCUCAUACAGGGGGAUAGCAUAGAGAAAUCUGUGGUAAUACCCCAUGAGGUUAUAUGAAUAGAGGCAUAUAAUCAAAGCAUAAGUGAUUAUGCGGUAUGAGAGGGGCCUACUGACCAUUAGCUAGUUGGUGAGGUAAGGGCUCACCAAGGCGAAGAUGGUUAGGGGUUUGAGAGAGAGACCCCCCCACAUUGGAACUGAGAGACGGUCCAGACUCCUACGGGAGGCAGCAGUAGGGAAUAUUGGGCAAUGGGCGAAAGCCUGACCCAGCCAUGACGCGUGAAGGAAGACGGCCUUAUGGGUUGUAAACUUCUUUACUACGCGAAUAGAGGUUAGUACGAGAUACUAAUAGGAAGGUAGUGUAGUAAAAAGCACCGGCUAACUCCGUG